rnacentral:RNase_P_RNA from 1 species
CAGGACGGCCAGACGGCCGCCGGGUCCGGCCUUCGCGGGCCGGGCCGGGAGGAAAGUCCGGGCUCCACAGGGCGCGGCGCUGGGCAACGCCCAGCGGGGGCGACCCCGGGCAAGCGCAACAGAAAGCAGACCGCCGCCUCUUGCAGGCGGCAAGGGUGAAACGGUGAGGCAAGAGCUCACCGGCCGGCUGGGCGACCAGCCGGGCCAGGCAAGCCCCGCCGGGAGCAAGACCAAAUAGGGGGACUUAGGCUGCCCGUCAUGUCCCCGGGUUGGUCGCUUGAACGCCGGAGCAAUCCGGCGUCUAGAGGAAUGGCCGUCGCCGUCUGGGCCACCAGAGAGGUCCCGGCGGCACAGAACCCGGCUUAUCGGCCAUCCCGGCCC